rnacentral:rRNA from 1 species
GAUGAACGCUGGCGGCGUGCUUAACACAUGCAAGUCGAACGGAAAGGCUCCUGCUUGCCGGGGUACUCGAGUGGCGAACGGGUGAGUAACACGUGGGUGAGCUGGCCUGCACUUCGGGAUAAGCCUGGGAAACUGGGUCUAAUACCGGAUAGGACGAUGGUUUGGAUGCCAUUGUGGAAAGUUCUUCGGUGUGGGAUGAGCUCGCGGCCUAUCAGCUUGUUGGUGGGGUAAUGGCCUACCAAGGCGUCGACGGGUAGCCGGCCUGAGAGGGUGUACGGCGACAUUGGGACUGAGGUACGGCCCAGACUGCUACGGGAGGCAGCAGGGGGGAAUAUUGCACAAUGGGCGCAAGCCUGAUGAAGCGACGCCGCGUGGGGGAUGACGGCCUUCGGGUUGUAAACUCCUUUCGCUAGGGACGAAGCGCAAGUGACGGUACCUGGAGAAGAAGCACCGGCUAACUACGUG